rnacentral:rRNA from 1 species
AAGCGCAUCUGGUGGAUGCCUUGGCGGCAACAGGCGAUGAAAGACGUAGUAGCCUGCGAUAAGCCUCGGGGAGCUGGCAAACAAGCUUUGAUCCGAGGAUUUCUGAAUGGGGCAACCCACGGCUUAGGCCGUAUCCCGCAAGGGAGGCUAACGCAGGGAACUGAAACAUCUAAGUACCUGCAGGAAAAGAAAUCAACCGAGAUUCCCCUAGUAGUGGCGAGCGAACGGGGAGUAGCCCUUAAGUUUUGUGCGGUUUAGUGGAACAGUCUGGAAAGUCUGGUCAUAGCGGGUGAUAGCCCCGUACACGAAAAACUGCAUGAGAUGAAAUCGAGUAAGGCGAGGCACGUGAAACCUUGUCUGAAUAUGGGGGGACCAUCCUCCAAGGCUAAAUACUCGUUGCCGACCGAUAGUGAACCAGUACCGUGAGGGAAAGGCGAAAAGAACCCCGGGAGGGGAGUGAAAUAGAUCCUGAAACCGCAUGCAUACAAGCAGUGGGAGCCGGCUUAGUCCGGUGACUGCGUACCUUUUGUAUAAUGGGUCAGCGACUUAUAUUCUGUAGCAAGGUUAACCGAAUAGGGGAGCCGUAGGGAAACCGAGUCUUAAUAGGGCGUCUAGUUGCAGGGUGUAGACCCGAAACCGGGUGAUCUAUCCAUGAGCAGGUUGAAAGUGACGUAACAGUUACCGGAGGACCGAACCCACUGUCUUUGAAAAGCCAGGGGAUGACUUGUGGAUAGGGGUGAAAGGCUAAUCAAACUCGGUGAUAGCUGGUUCUCCCCGAAAGCUAUUUAGGUAGCGCCUCGGACGAACACCAUUGGGGGUAGAGCACUGUUUCGGCUAGGGGGUCAUCCCGACUUACCAAACCGAUGCAAACUCCGAAUACCGAUGAGUGAUAUCCGGGAGACAGACGGCGGGUGCUAACGUCCGUCGUCAAGAGGGAAACAACCCAGACCGCCAGCUAAGGUCCCUAAAUCAUCGCUAAGUGGUAAACGAUGUGGAAAGUCAUAGACAGCCAGGAUGUUGGCU